CCAAUAGCGUAUAUUAAAGUUGUUGCAGUUAAAAAGCUCGUAGUUGAAUUUCGAGAUCGGUUUAUUGGUCGUGCUAUUGUACGUACUGGUAUUACCGGUUUCUCCUUUCUGACGAACCUUAAUGCCAUUAAUUUGGUGUUUUGGGAAAUCAGGACUGUUACUUUGAAAAAAUUAGAGUGUUUAAAGCAGGCUCACGCUUGAAUACAUUAGCAUGGAAUAACGGAAUAGGACGUUUGAUUCUAUUUUGUUGGUUUCUAGGAUCGACGUAAUGAUUAAUAGGGAUAGUUGGGGGCAGUAGUAUUCAAUUGUCAGAGGUGAAAUUCUUGGAUUUAUUGAAGACUAACUACUGCGAAAGCAUUUGCCAAGGAUGUUUUCAUUAAUCAAGAACGAAAGUUAGGGGAUCGAAGACGAUCAGAUACCGUCGUAGUCUUAACCAUAAACUAUGCCGACUAGGGAUCGGAUGAUGUUAAUUUUUUAAUGACUCAUUCGGCGCCUUACG
rnacentral:rRNA from 1 species